rnacentral:rRNA from 1 species
UUCGCAAUGCCCGAAAGGGUGAACGAGCGACGCCGCGUGUGGGAUGAAGGCCUUCGGGUCGUAAACCACUGUUAAGGGGACUGAAGGGUACCGGUACGAAUACUACCGGUGCCAUCUGACAGGACCCUAGAGGAAGCACUGGCUAACUCCGUGCCAGCAGCCGCGGUAAUACGGAGGGUGCGAACGUUGUUCGGAUUCAUUGGGCUUAAAGGGCACGUAGGCGGUCGGCUUAGUCGGAUGUGAAAUCCCUCGGCUUAACCGAGGAACAGCAUCCGAAACUGGCCGGCUUGAGCGAAGAAGGGGAGAGCGGAACUUCUGGUGUAGCGGUGAAAUGCGUAGAUAUCAGAAGGAACGCCGGUGGCGAAAGCGGCUCUCUGGUCUUCUGCUGACGCUGAGGUGCGAAAGCCAGGGGAGCAAACGGGAUUAGAUACCCCGGUAGUCCUGGCUGUAAACGAUGGGCACUAAGUAGAGGGGUUUU